rnacentral:miRNA from 1 species
UGGGAGCAGCAAGAGAACCGU